ACGAACGCUGGCGGCAGUGCUUAACACAUGCAAGUCGAACGCAUCUGGUAGCAUAGCCAGUGGCAGACGGCGGAGUAAUACGGUGGACAACGUGCCCUAAGAUCCGGGAUAAUCCCAGGGAAACUGCGGUAAUACCGGAUUGCCUACCGCUGCGGAUGAGCUAGAAUGGAUUUAUCGCUUGAAGGAUCGGUUCACGGCCUGAUCAGGUAGUUGGUGGGGUAAUGGCCUACCAAGGCCGACGAUCAGGUAGCUGGUCUGAGAGGAUGAUCCGCAUCGAGUGGGACUGAGACACGGCCCAGCACUCCUACGGGAGGCAGCAGUGGGGAAUCUUGCACAAUGGGGGAAAGCCUGAUGCAGCGACUGCCGCGUGAGUGACUGAAGGCUCUAGGGUUGUAAAGCUCUUUUCGGGAAGACUUAAUGACGGUAGCGCUGAAGAAGAAGCACCGGCUAACUACGUGCCAGCAGCCGCGGUAAUACGUAAGGGUGCUAGCGUUGUCCGGAAUUACUGGGCGUAAAGCGCGCGUAGGCGGCUUGUUAAGUGUGAAGUGAAAGCUCCGGGCUCAACCCGGAAAUUGCUUCGCAUACUGGCUAGCUUGAGGGAAGCAGAGGUUUGUGGAAUUCCUGGUGUAGCGGUGAAAUGCGUUGAUAUCAGGAGGAACACCCAUGGCGAAGGCAGCAAACCGGGCUUCAUCUGACGCUGAGGCGCGAAAGCGUGGGUAGCAAACAGGAUUAGAUACCCUGGUAGUCCACGCCCUAAACGAUGGAUACUAGGCGUAGGAGGUAUCGACCCCUCCUGUGCCGCAGCUAACGCAUUAAGUAUCCCGCCUGGGGAGUACGGCCGCAAGGUUGAAACUCAAAUGAAUUGACGGGGACCCGCACAAGCGGUGGAGCAUGUGGUUUAAUUCGAUACUAACCGAAGAACCUUACCCAGGUUUGACAUUGAGAGAAAGCCGUAGAGAUACGGUCCUCCCCCACAAGGGGACUCGAAAACAGAUGUUGCAUGGCUGUCGUCAGCUCGUGCCGUGAGGUGUACGGUUAAGUCCGCCAACGAGCGCAACCCUCGUCCUGUGUUACCAGCAUGAAAGAUGGGGACUCACAGGAGACCGCCGGUGUAAGCCGGAGGAAGGUGGGGAUGAUGUCAAGUCAGCAUGGCUCUUACGCCUGGGCUACACACAUGCUACAAUGGACGCAACAGAGGGCAGCGAUGACGCGAGUCGGAGCCAAUCCCAAAAAUACGUCCUCAGUUCAGAUUGCAGUCUGCAACUCGACUGCAUGAAGGCGGAAUCGCUAGUAAACGCAGGUCAGCUAUACUGCGUUAAGUACGUUCCCGGGUCUUGUACACACCGCCCGUCAAGUCACCUGAAUUGCCUUCACCCGAAGUCCGUGGCUCAACCGCAAGGAGAGAGCGGCCGAAGGUGAGGGGGGUAAGGGGGACU
rnacentral:rRNA from 1 species